GGUUUAAUGUCACGGUGGACAAUAUCAUUUUGGUGGGCAUGUGAGAUUGCAGAUGUCAGCUGUUGCAUGAUUUCAAGUGCAGUCUCGGUCGGAAUGGGCGAAUUUUGCAGUAUGUAUUGCUUUAACGUUUGGCCGUCGACAUAUUCCAUGACAAUAUAAUAAAGAUCGUUCUCUUCACCCACAUCAUAAAUGCUGACAAUGUUCGGGUGAGC
rnacentral:antisense_RNA from 1 species